GAUGAAGAACGUAGCGAAAUGCGAUAAGUAAUGCGAAUUGCAGAAUUUCCGUGAGUCAUCGAAUCUUUGAACGCACAUUGCGCCCACUGGUAUUCCGGUGGGCAUGCCUGUUCGAGCGUCAUUAUCCUCCCCCAAACCCCGGGUUUGGUGUUGGACCCAAGUUGUGUGAACAACUGGUCUCAAAGACAAUGACGGCGUCCGUGGGACCCUCGGUGCAACGAGCUUUUAGGAGCACGCAUCGAGUUGCAAGGACCUUCCGGGCCGGUCUCCUUUACCAUUUUACAAGGUUGACCUCGGAUCAGGUAGGAAUACCCGCUGAACUUAAGCAUAUCAAUAAGCGGAGGA
rnacentral:misc_RNA from 1 species